rnacentral:lncRNA from 1 species
AUUUGAUUUAGCUACUUCCUGAUUGUAACAAUGGAGAUAUUUGGUCUAACAGAAUCAGGAAUGUUUUAUGAACUUUACACUGCUCCACCCUACUUAGUCUAACAAGGUCAGGAAUGUCUGCACCCAUACUUAAGGAUUAAGUAUCUAGGAGGAUGGCCUUUGAUAGACAUGUGCAGAAAUAGCUGACAGACCCCUGGGCUGUCCUAAGUCAAGCUAAGCUACCAUUGGUACAGAUAAGAUGCAAGAAAGUGAUGUAAAAUCAUCUAUAAAGGGUGUGUCACUUCCUCUCUUUGCUCUCUUUCCCCCAAGAGGUGGAUCUUGGUGGUGACUUCCUGUGAGCAGGCCUGGGCGCCAGUUCCAUCCUGGAACUUGCCUGGAGGAGCUCCCUCAGACAGCUUCCUUGAGAAGGUCUCCUGCUUUGAACUGCAGAGAAGGUGAUGAAAAAGGAGAUUCCUUUUUAAAACAAUCUAUCAAUGAAUUCUUCUAUCAACACAUCAUGAGUCCAUUCCCUUUACCAAUAUCCACAGGAAAUGGAAAAACAACAUGGAUCUGCAGAAAAGCAAGAGACUUGGAAUUUUGGCAACUGCCAGUCAACUGAGAUGGAGUCACAGUUCCAUGGAAUUUUGAAGGAAGCAGUUGGGCAGCUUGAGCUGUUUUGAGACUCACUUCUUUUCUGACAGUUGGGAGAAAGCCAGACUCUCUCUUGUUCAAUGAUUAUCUGACUGAGUACUGAGAAGACUUUUAGAACUUAGCUCAGAAGAAACUCUGCCAUCCAGUUGUUAUCAACAUCUCCCCUUAGAGAAAAAUCACUUUAUUUCCUGAAUUGAGAGCUCCAAUCAACAGGAAAAUAUAGGAAGUUAGAGAAACCCAUUUUCCUCUCUCCCCCCCUCCUUCUCCUUACUUCCUAUAUUUAAAAGAAUAAAAACUUUUUGUUAAAAAUUUGAGGGUGAAAG